CCGUACACAAAAGCGCAUGUGCUGUGAGCUCGAUGAGUAGGGCGGGACACGUGGUAUCCUGUCUGAAUAUGGGGGGACCAUCCUCCAAGGCUAAAUACUCCUGACUGACCGAUAGUGAACCAGUACCGUGAGGGAAAGGCGAAAAGAACCCCGGCGAGGGGAGUGAAAAAGAACCUGAAACCGUGUACGUACAAGCAGUGGGAGCACAGGUUUACCUGUGUGACUGCGUACCUUUUGUAUAAUGGGUCAGCGACUUAUAUUCUGUAGCAAGGUUAACCGUAUAGGGGAGCCGGAGGGAAACCGAGUCUUAAUUGGGCGUUAAGUUGCAGGGUAUAGACCCGAAACCCGGUGAUCUAGCCAUGGGCAGGUUGAAGGUUGGGUAACACUAACUGGAGGACCGAACCGACUAA
rnacentral:rRNA from 1 species